UUUGACCUCAAAUCAGGUAGGACUACCCGCUGAACUUAAGCAUAUCAAUAAGCGGAGGAAAAGAAACUAACGAGGAUUCCCCUAGUAACUGCGAGUGAAGAGGGAAGAGCUCAAAUUUGAAAUCUGGCAGUCUGUUUUUUCUUCUUUGGCUGUCCGAGUGUAAU
rnacentral:rRNA from 1 species